GGCCCGUUGGUCAAGCGGUUAAGACUCCGCCCUCUCACGGCGGCAACACCAGUUCGAGUCUGGUACGGGUCA
rnacentral:tRNA from 1 species